rnacentral:misc_RNA from 1 species
GAUGAAGAACGUAGUGAAAUGCGAUAAUUAAUGUGAAUUGCAGAAUUCCGUGAAUCAUCGAGUCUUUGAACGCACAUUGCGCCCCCUGGUAUUCCGGGGGGCAUGCCUGUCCGAGCGUCAUUGCUGCCCUCAAGCACGGCUUGUGUGUUGGGCCUCCGUCCUCCUCCCGGGGGACGGGCCCGAAAGGCAGCGGCGGCACCGCGUCCGGUCCUCGAGCGUAUGGGGCUUCGUCACCCGCUCUUGUAGGCCCGGCCGGCGCUUGCCGACACAUCAAUCUUUUUUCCAGGUUGACCUCGGAUCAGGUAGGGAUACCCGCUGAACUUAAGCAUAUCAAUAAGCGGAGGA